UACGGGGGGAGCAAGCGUUGUUCGGAUUUAUUGGGCGUAAAGAGCUCGUAGGUGGUUCGGUAAGUCGGAUGUGAAAUCUCCAGGCUCAACCUGGAGGGGUCAUUCGAUACUGCCGUGACUAGAGUUCGGUAGGGGAGUGUGGAAUUCCUGGUGGAGCGGUGAAAUGCGCAGAUAUCAGGAGGAACACCCGUAGCGAAGGCGGCUCACUGGACCGGUACUGACGCUGAUGCGCGAAAGCGUGGGGAGCAAACGGG
rnacentral:rRNA from 1 species